CCUGCUCAUAUUCUACAUGAGGAAACUGACUCUAAGAGAGGACAGAAGCACUGCCCAGUGCCACAUAGCUAGAGAGUGUGGGGCUCUGGAUCCAAACCUAGAGCUUGCAUGAUUCUGGUUUGGCUGGAAGUUUGACAAAUGAAAAAUUCUAUAUUUCUGUCUUCAGGAGUUUAUCUGGAAACCAAGCUCUACCUUCCCUAAGCAGAUGCUACUGGACAGGUGGCAUAAAGUUGCUGCCCCCGUCUGAGGUCCAGAUCCUCCCAGCUUUAGUACCUCCAACAACUACUGCAUAUCUUCAAUCCUAGUUCCAGAUAUUCAGGAAAGAGACAUUGAUUGGUCUAUUUUGGUCUAUCAUCUACCCCAUUGUGGAAUAAUCAUGGCUACCUGGACCCAUCCCUUUAAGUGAAGUGACAAGGCAGAAAAAGGGAGGUGAGAUCCAGCAGACACUCUACAUGGUACUAUUGUGUGCUUCAUCAGGAACUUUCCACAGUAACACAUAGAAGGCAAAAAACAGAAACGGACUAGAAUUAUCCUGCCAAAGGACAGUCCACCUGAGAUUACAGCCCUCCUCCAGGCCUUCCCCUGAAGCCCAGUUUACACAGAAUCCAUUCUCAUAUUCGCUAAGGUGGUAGGCUGGACUCCAAGAUACUGAAUUGUCCCCUCACACUGAGUGUGGGUGGGACCUAGGAAUAUGAUGAGAUACUCACUCCUGUGAUUACGGUUGCUUUAUAUAAGACUCUGUCAUGGCAGACCAGGGCCAGACCCUCCUGCUGGCUCUCAAGAAAGAAGUUGGCAUGUUGUCAGAGGUCCACAUGGCUAGAACCUUAGGGCAGCCUCAAGGAGCUGGGAACCAUCCCAUUCCAAUUUCCAGCAGGAAAACAGACACCUCAGUCAUAAGACCACAAGUAACCAGUCUCAGCUUCAGAUGGAUUUGCAGCCCCCACCACAGGUGAGAUCCUAAACAGAGAACCCAGAGAACCCUGUGCCACCAUACUUGGACUUCUAAUCUACAGAAACUGUGAGAUAAUAGAUUCAUGGUGUUUUAAGUUACUAAAUUUGUAGUAAUUCGUUAUGCUGCAAUAGAAAGCUAAUACAUCUAACUUAGAGAAAA